rnacentral:lncRNA from 1 species
GUUACCUGUACUUACUUAACGGAACUUCAUCUGUGAAAUGGGAUAAUAAGAAACAUGUGUAGAAAUGUCACAAAAGCAUAUGGAACAUAGGAACUAUUCCAUCACAUUAGCUAUUAUUAUAGUUUUAAGUGGUUAAAAGCCAUUUAAACAUUAGUAAACACCAAAGAUUUUAAUACUCAGCAAAUAUUGAGAUGGAAUUUGACUUGAGAAUCAUCUUCAAGGAGUUCACAGCGAUGUAGUGAUGGGUGAGACUGACAGAGCUUAACUCUCACCUCUUGUUCGCAUCUAACUAUUAAAUUUAGAAAUGGGCCAGGCACACAAAAGCGCUUCCAGGAUCUAUGUAGAAAGAAAUACAUUGCUGUGUGUUUGUAGCUCCGCCCAUCAUUUGAGGGUAAGUAGAAAAGAGGUUUGGCGUGGCUUUCAGAGGAAGUAAGGUGAAGAUUCUUCUCU